rnacentral:rRNA from 1 species
CACCGCCCCCGUCGCUACUACCGAUUGAAUGAUUUAGUGAGGCCUUCGGACUGGCGGUCUUGGACUGGGCUCCACUCGCCAUCACCCCAGCAAUGGGGGGCGGUGGACUCGCCAUGACGAGCCGGAAAGAUGUCCAAACUUGAUCAUUUAGAGGAAGUAAAAGUCGUAACAAGGUUUCCGUAGGUGAACCUGCGGAAGGAUCAU